rnacentral:rRNA from 1 species
UACGAAGGGGGCUAGCGUUGCUCGGAAUCACUGGGCGUAAAGGGUGCGUAGGCGGGUCUUUAAGUCCGGGGUGAAAUCCUGGAGCUCAACUCCAGAACUGCCUUUGAUACUGAGGAUCUUGAGUCCGGGAGAGGUGAGUGGAACUGCGAGUGUAGAGGUGAAAUUCGUAGAUAUUCGGAAGAACACCAGUGGCGAAGGCGGCUCACUGGUCCGGUACUGACGCUGAGGUGCGAAAGCGUGGGGAGCAAACAGG